rnacentral:rRNA from 1 species
GAUGAACGCUGACAGAAUGCUUAACACAUGCAAGUCUACUUGAACUUCGGUUUGGGUGGCGGCCGGGUGAGUAACGCGUAAAGAACUUGCCUCACAGUUAGGGACAACAUUUGGAAACGAAUGCUAAUACCUGAUAUUAUGAUUUUAGGGCAUCCUAGGAUUAUGAAAGCUAUAUGUGCUGUGAGAGAGCUUUGCGUCCCAUUAGCUAGUUGGAGAGGUAACGGCUCACCAAGGCGAUGAUGGGUAGCCGGCCUGGGAGGGUGAACGGCCACAAGGGGACUGAGACACGGCCCUUACUCCUACGGGAGGCAGCAGUGGGGAAUAUUGGACAAUGGACCAAAAGUCUGAUCCAGCAAUUCUGUGUGCAAGAUGACGUUUUUCGGAAUGUAAAGUGCUUUCAGUUGGGAAGAAAAAAAUGACGGUACCAACAGAAGAAGUGACGGCUAAAUACGUG